CCAGGUCCCUUCCAUUGACAAGAAGUUAGGGAGCAGGCCAAGCAAAGUUCCUGGUGGGUUAGCUCUCAACCCCGCCCCUUCUGCCUGAGGCCCCACCUCUUCCAGGUUGGCCUGCAGCCACUUCCAAAAUUUAUGAAGUAGCCCCCCUUCCAAAAUUAUUGCCCACCUCUAGUUUGGAUUAGCCAAUAGUUGCACAUGUCCAUUGAAAUUGCAUUAUCCAUAGAAAUGUCAUAAACAAGCAGUUGCAGGAAGUUAGCCAACUCGUGACUAGCCACCAACCCUCCUGCAAGUUCUCUUUCAAUACAUUUACCCUUCUGGCUCUCUUGAAAGAGGGAAGACAAAGCUUUGAGAAGCUGCAUUGAAACAUUAGACAAUGUCCCAGACAGUGAUCGUCCAGCAACCUGCCUCCAUGGGUUCUGCCGUCAUGUCCCCAACAGGUGACUGGAGCACCGGGAGGUAUGAAUGUUUUGCGGAUUGUGCCACAUGCUGCUUGGGGACUUUUUGCCCAACAAUUCUGGCAUGUUACAUGGCAAACAAGUAUGGAGAGAAUUGCUGCCUUGGGAUCACUCCUGGAGGCAUGACAGCAAUGCGAACACACAUGCGCCUCUCUUAUGGCAUCCAGGGAACUAUCUGCAGAGAUGUACUGGCAAUGUGCUUUUGUGGCCCCUGUGAGCUAUGCAGAAUGGCUCGUGAAAUGAACAUCCGCUGUCCGCAUUAAAGAGCACUGCGAAGAGGUCACUCAGUGGAUGAAAUCCCAGGCACACCAUUUCCGCUUCCCUAGUAAAGGACAUCAACUGUAGUGUGACUGCCCAAAAGAUCUCGCUUCAUGGUCGAAGACCCAGAGCCCCCAGUGCAGUUCUGAUGAGUGGGGUGCCCUAUUUCCAUUAAAGGACAUAGCUGAGAGAAUAAAA